rnacentral:lncRNA from 1 species
CAGGGAGAGAACGGAGCAUUAGAACAGGAGUUAUAAAUUCAAGCAAAUCUGCUAACUCUUUUCCUCCUUGCACCAACGGAGACAUCUUAACUACAAUAAUUUUGGAAGCCCCCUAAGCUACAGAGACACAUGAAGUGAAACUGGCAGGAGCUCUCAACACAGCCUUGCAUUCUACAAUGAUUCUAGCAAUGGAUAAUAGUUAAAAUCCACAAAUACAACACCACGCCUCUGAUCUCCCAUUCUAUCCCCAGAGGUUUGCUCAAGCCAGGCACACGGAAAACUUACAUCAAACUCCUCACUUCCAAGAUCAGAGGAAGUCCAAGCUGUCCCUCAAGGAUUCAGAGGAUUCCUUGGAGUGAAGAGAUGGAGAAGAAGCCAGAUAACAUUCUCAUAGCCCCAGCUGAUCCUGAUUCCGUGAAGGAAGUUACCACAUUGAUGCAAACUUGAAAUCCCACUUCUUCUCUAUUGCCUUCCUCCACGGACACAUGCAAAAAUAGAC